CCUACGAGAGGCUGCAGUGAGGAAUAUUGGUCAAUGGGCGGGAGCCUGAACCAGCCAAGUCGCGUGAAGGAAGAAGGUACUUAGUAUUGUAAACUUCUUUUGUCGGGGAACAAAGGCGGAGACGCUUCUCCGGAUGAGGGUAACCGAAGAAAAAGCAACGGCUAACUCCGUGCCAGCAGCCGCGGUAAUAAGGAGUAUGCGAGCGUUAUUCGGAUUUAUUGGGUUUAAAGGGUGAGCAGGCGGGAGAUCAAGUCAGCGGUAAAAUGUCGGGGCUCAACCCCGGCCGGCCGUUGAGACUGGUUUUCUAGAGUUGGAGAGAAGUAUGCGGAAUUCGUGGGGUAGCGGUGAAAUGCAUCGAUAUCACGAAGAACUCCGAUUGCGAAGGCAGCAUACCGGCUCCAUACUGACGCUGAGGCACGAAAGCGUGGGGAUCGAACAGGAUUAGAUACCCCUGUAGUC
rnacentral:rRNA from 1 species